rnacentral:snoRNA from 1 species
CCUGGAUGAUGAUAAGCAGAUGACUGACUGAAUGUGAAGUUUAUAAUUAGCUCUAGCUGAUU